rnacentral:rRNA from 1 species
ACACGUAGGGGGCGAGCGUUGUCCGGAAUUACUGGGCGUAAAGGGCGUGUAGGCGGUCUAUUAAGUCAGGCGUGAAAACCCUGGGCUUAACCUGGGGACUGCGUUUGAAACUGGUAGGCUUGAGGGCAGGAGAGGAAAGUGGAAUUCCCGGUGUAGCGGUGAUAUGCGUAGAUAUCGGGAGGAACACCAGUGGCGAAGGCGGCUUUCUGGACUGCACCUGACGCUGAGGCGCGAAAGCCAGGGGAGCGAACGGGAUUAGAUACCCCGGUAGUCCUGGCCGUAAACGAUGGGUACUAGGUGUGGGAGGUAUCGACUCCUUCCGUGCCGGAGUUAACACAAUAAGUACCCCGCCUGGGGAGUACGGCCGCAAGGCUGAA